AAACAUAGCCUUUAGCCCACCAAGUAUUAAAGGUGUCGCCUGCCCAGUGAACCAACUUUAACGGCCGCGGUAUCCUAACCGUGCAAAGGUAGCGUAAUCAUUUGUCCCCUAAAUAGGGACCUGUAUGAAUGGCUAGAUGAGGGCCUAACUGUCUCCUGCAGCAAACCAAUGAAACUGAUCUCCCAGUACAAAAGCUGGGAUAACCACACAAGACGAGAAGACCCUGUGGAGCUUUAAACCUAUACACUACACCCAUAAAACAAAACCAAUAGGGUCUAAAACCGUUAAUAUAGUGUAAGUUUUAAGUUGGGGCGACUACGGAAUAAAAUAAACCAUCCACGAAACAGGGUAAACACCCCCAUUCAAGGCCCACAAGCCAAAAAUAUAUAAACAAUUGACCCAGUAACACUGACCACCGAACCAAGUUACCCCAGGGAUAACAGCGCCAUCCUCUUUAAGAGUCCAUAUCGCCAAGAGGGUUUACGACCUCGAUGUUGGAUCAGGACCCCCAGGCGGUGCAGCCGCUGCCAAUGGUUCGUUUGUUCAACGACUAAUGUCCUACGUGAUCU
rnacentral:rRNA from 1 species